rnacentral:tRNA from 1 species
UGGGAUAUAGCUUGGUGGUACAGCAUUUGCCUAGAUAUGGGAUGCCCUGGGUUUAAUUCCCAGCAUCUCAA